rnacentral:rRNA from 1 species
UGCAAUCAAUUGUCUUUUAAAUGGAGACCUGUAUGAAUGGCAUAACGAGGGUUCACUGUCUCUUUUUUCCGGUCAAUGAAACUGAUCUGCCCGUGCAGAAGCGGGCAUAUUUACACAAGACGAGAAGACCCUAUGGAGCUUUAGACACCAACCAACCACGAAAAGCGACCCUGAUUGGAGCCCCAAACAACGUGAUUCUGGCAUAAGUGUCUUCGGUUGGGGCGACCACGGGAGAUAGCACAGCUCCCGAGUGGAUGGGGGACACCCUAAAACCCAGAGCCACAGCUCUAAGUCACAAAACAUUUGACCAAUAAUGAUCCGGCUUAAUGCCGACCAACGGACCAAGUUACCCUAG